CUGUAAUAAUUAAUUUAGUGAAGUGGAGCGAAAUUCUCCCACUGUGCCGCAACGGUGAGUCCAUAAAGCAAAGGACAAGUCCGAGCCUAAAUUACAGUAAUGAGCCUAAUGGCGGUCCCGAGCAGGAAAUUCUUCAAACCUAGAAUCUCCUG
rnacentral:ncRNA from 26 species